AACGGUCUAUACCUGCGGUACCUGCGGAAGGAUCAUUACUGAAGUGAUUUGGGGAUGUUGCUGGCCUCUCAAGGGGGGCAUUGUGCACUCCUCGAAACAAUUCACAAUUUCCAUCACACCCCUUGUGCACAUUUGUAGGCACCCGAACCCCCCCCUCUGGGUGGCGGGUCCUAUGUAUUUCUUCAUCUCACACUUUGUUGAAUGGUGCCAUCAGAACGCAUCUAAAGGAUUAUUAUAUGU
rnacentral:misc_RNA from 1 species